rnacentral:rRNA from 1 species
CAGCAGCCGCGGUAAUACGAAGGGUGCAAGCGUUAAUCGGAAUUACUGGGCGUAAAGCGUGCGCAGGCGGUUGUGUAAGACAGGUGUGAAAUCCCCGGGCUUAGCCUGGGAACUGCGCUUGUGACUGCACAGCUAGAGUAUGGCAGAGGGGGGUGGAAUUCCACGUGUAGCAGUGAAAUGCGUAGAGAUGUGGAGGAACACCGAUGGCGAAGGCAGCCCCCUGGGCCAAUACUGACGCUCAUGCACGAAAGCGUGGGGAGCAAACAGGAUUAGAUACCCGUGUAGUCCCUGUCUCUUAUAC